AUCAAGGCCCUUUUCAGGGCCGCCCAUCUUUUCACUUUAAAAGAGU
rfam:Dipodomys ordii contig_70646, whole genome shotgun sequence.